UUGCGAAUGAUGACCUAGCAUAUUCUAUACAGUUAUCCCUGUCUGAAAUGUCUCUCAAGAGUUCAUUUGUGGAUACCGUCUAACUUCUGACUACGCAA
rnacentral:snoRNA from 2 species